AGGACUUCUAAAUUUAAUCGCUCUGACCCUAGACUAUCCUGAGCAGUCUUUGCAUGGCUGGCAGUACAGAAGGAAUGGAUUUGCCAUAGCCAGUUCAAUCCAGGAACAGCAAGUGAAUGAGAAGACACCAGGAAAGUGCACAGAGGAAGUAAAAAUACAAAGGACAAGCACAUACCGUUUUCUGUCUUCCAGAACCAAACCU